GGGGCUGGCCGGGCGACCGCGUUCGUGUCCUUCGGGAUGCGGCCGAGGAAGGUCCGGGCUCCACAGAGCAGGGUGGUCGCCAACAGCGACCCGGGGCAACCCGCGGGACAGUGCCACAGAGAACAGACCGCCUUCCGGGCAACCGGGAGGUAAGGGUGAAACGGUGGUGCAAGAGACCACCAGUACGCCGGGUGACCGGCGUAGCUAGGUAAACCCCACCCGGAGCAAGAUCGAACAGCACGUGCCUGAGGGCUGCUCGCCCGAGCGUGCGGGUAGAUCGCUUGAGGCGGCCGGCAACGGUCGUCCUAGAUGGAUGGUCGCCAGCCGGUCGGUCGUGAGGCCGACCGGGGAACAAAACCCGGCCUAUGAGCCAGCCCCUCCG
rnacentral:RNase_P_RNA from 1 species